rnacentral:rRNA from 1 species
AAACGAUAGCUAAUACCGCAUAAGAGUAGAUGUUGCAUGACAUUUGCUUAAAAGGUGCAAUUGCAUCACUACCAGAUGGACCUGCGUUGUAUUAGCUAGUUGGUGAGGUAACGGCUCACCAAGGCGACGAUACAUAGCCGACCUGAGAGGGUGAUCGGCCACACUGGGACUGAGACACGGCCCAG